rnacentral:rRNA from 1 species
AUGGUGAAGGGACGCACGGGGCAGCUCGUCAGGCUCUACGUCCGGGGCACCAUCCUCAGCUUCAAGAGGUCGAAGUCGAACCAGUACGAGAGCACGUUGCUGGUGCAGGUCGAGGGGGUGAACACCAAGGAGGACGUGGCGUGGUACGGUGUCGCCGCGAUGGAAGAAGCCUCCUCCGCUCUGCUCUGCUCGCCGAGGGACGACACCCACUACCGCUGCCUCUGGGGCAAGAUCACCCGCCCGCACGGCAACUCCGGCGUCGUCCGCGCCUAG